CAGUACUUCUUUCUGUAAUUUUUGUUCUUUUAUUUUUUUCCAUUCUAUUGAGAUAUAAUUGACAUGCAUCCCUGGAUAAGUUUAAGGUGUACAGUAUAAUGGUUUGACUUACCUCUAUCGUGAAUCUUGUUCUCCUUUGCAAAAAUUCAUACAGAUACUUAGCAUAAAAAAUUAAGACAAUGAGCCAAAAGAUACCCCUAGAUACUUUUUCUGUAAAUAAAAAAUUCCCCACGUCCCUCUCCCUUAUCUCCUUCUCUGGGAUAUGCCAUAAUUGCUCAAGUACAGUGAGAUAGUUGGUUGUACAAGUAGAAAAGACAAUUUAUUAACUUUGGAUCCUUUUUGUAGAUGGUGAAGUUGAUUCAGAAUUCUAAAUUGUUUAGGGGCACCUGGCUGGCUCAGUCAGCGGAACAUGACUCUUGAUCUCGGGAUGGUGGGUUUCAGCUCAGUGUUGGGUGUAGAGACUACUUAAAAAUAAAAUGUUUUAAAAAAAAAUUCUAAAUUGUCCAAACUCUAAAUCCUUUCUGAGGGCUUACCAUGGAUUCAAAGUCAAUAUCUAUAGGAAAUACAGCACAGAGCAGAGGAAGUAGUUAAUGCCUUUUUGUUAAGUGAAAUUGAAUGAAUAAAGCCUUGAGCCUGAAUUAAGAAUGUGCUGGGAAAUAGAGAUUUGGAGAACAAUUUUAGGCUCCCCCCCCCCCCCGAAUUACCAGGGAUAUGAAAUCUCGAAUAAAUUUCAUCUGGAGUUCUCAGGAAGCUGGGACGACUAGUGGAAUCAGGAAUAAAGUUGUAACGUGACAUGGGACGACCACUUCUCGUUCUCAGCUGUCUUACCCACAGUUCCCGCAUGCAGCUUUGGUGUGACUCAGCCCUGUGUCCCGGAGUGAGCCCUCCGUGACAGUGGGCCAGAGCCUUCAUUCUGUUCCUGAGGAAGAAAUAGUAUCCUGAAGGAGUCCAGAAAAGUUGGACAAUUAAGUAAAUAUUUUUGCUCAAAAAACA